CACAUUUGUUGAGAAAAUCGAAAAACGACCUCUCUAAAGUAUCUUCCCAGUGUAAUUUCCUUUUAGAAAAAUUGCUAUCAUUAUGAGUUAGAGCAAAAUUGCUGGUAGGAAAAUUAUGCACAGAAAAAAAAAUCGUAAUAUUACACAAAUAUAUUUCGUACAUUUUCCCGUUUUUUUUCGGUUUUUCACAUUUGAUGAGAAAAAUCUUGAGAAAAUCGAAAAAUAAUCUGCUUAAAGUACCUC